GCUGAACGCUGGCGACGUGCCUAAUACAUGAAAGUCAAGCGCAGCGGGGACGGGUGGGUAACACGUGGAUAACCUCCUAUAAGACUGGGAUAACUUCGGGAAACCGGAUCGAAACCGACUACUUAUACAUUGAUCAGCGCUGAAUUAGCUAGUUGGUAAGGUAACGGCUUACCAAGUCAACGAUGCAUAGCCGACCUGAGAGGGGUAUAGGCAACACUGGAACUGAGACACGGUCCAGAAUCCUACGGGAGGCAGCAGUAGGGAAUCUUCCGCAAUGGGCGAAAGCCUGACGGAGCAACGCCGCGUGAGUGAUGAAGGUCUUCGGAUCGUAAAACUCGGUUAUUAGGGAAGCGGUACCUAAUCAGAAAGCCACGGCUAACUACGUGCCAGCAGCCGCGGUAAUAC
rnacentral:rRNA from 1 species